rnacentral:tRNA from 1 species
GUGUUUGUAUUUGGUUGUUUUUCGUGUCCUUGCGUCACGUUGCAACGGACUCUGACUCCGUCAACCCUGGUUCGAAUCCAGGUCCCCCAGCCA